AAACACCAUAAAAAGCAUCACUUCCUUUUGUAGGAUUGGCUUCUUUGGUGGUGUUCAAUUUAAGUCGAUUUGGCAUAUAUGUUGAAGGUUGUGAAAACUUUAAAGUUCAUCGGUCCGCAAAUUAGGGCGGCACAUGGCGUCUGGACAUGAAGAUGGAAUCAUCAUCCUGUCGGAUCUGUCAUCCAGUCGUUGUGUUUCAGCACUGCUGGGACACAACUGUUCUGUGUGGUAAUGUGCUUACAGGAAUAGGCAUAUAUAUCUGUCAAUAUCCUGAUCUGAUCAUCUACUACAUCAAAAUUGGGAUCAAUUAUGGUUAUGGAGUUACCAGAACUGCAGCAAAAUGGUUUUGCCUGGUGGACUUAUCCCCUUAUGCAGCCAGGUUAUGGAUGACUCAAUAUUUAUUGUUAUUACAAUCCCUAUAGGGGGUAUGGGAUUAUUGAAUGUCAAGGACCAGUCUAGCCUUUGCUUAUUAUUUGGCCUUACGCUACCUUCAUUUUCAUUAGCACUGGAAGAGGGCGGAGCUGGGGUUCAAGGUGUUGGAGCUGGAGGCGGUGGUCGAGAAGGAGAAGCGCCUUACCAGGAUCCUCCACCGCUCGCUCUAGGGCCAUGUCAUCUGCCAUUGCUGCCACUCCACGCUCUUUCCCACCAAGCGUGCUCCAAGUGACACAUCUCAACGGAAGUGGCUAGGAAAGACAUUUUGUUGAGGUCAGAUCAUUUUGGCAUAUCUUUAGAAGCUUUGAUAGGAUGUGGACACUCCUUGUGCUUGGGCUUCAGCUCUGGUUCUUACAUUAAUAGUUAUGGAGUGGGUUCUUUCAUAAUUAAUCUUAUUCUUCUUAUUCUGAUGGAACUUUUGGGCACAUUUUUCUUGUUUGUUUUAUUUCAGGUUCUUGGUGUGGCAUGGAUUAGAAAGUUCUGUUCAGUUAAUUGAUCCAAUAAUUUUCAGGAAGUGCUAAGUAUUUUCAUAACCAAUGCAGUACUUCGAGUUAUUCAGGGUUAACUUGGCUUUUGUUGUUUCUUAUAUACUGAUCUACUUAGUCCCAUAAUAUAAGGGAUUAUGUCAAAAAUUGAGGAAGUAGCAAACGUACAAGUCAUGUCACAGAAGUUGGGGGAAUACAAAAGUUGGUAGGUGAGAAAUAAAGUAGUACAAAAGUUGUAGGUGGGGAAUAAAUUAGUAAAAAAUUGAUAAAUUACGAAGAAAGUACUGCCUCGGUAUCACAAAAUCUCUUAUAUUUUGGGACGGUGGGAGUAGCUAUAUUCAUUUAUUUCUUGUGCUCUAUCUUCUCUUAGUAAUAUACUUAUUUUGUGCAGUUGUUCUUGGUAUUGCUUUCUCAUGGAGAACCAAGCGAACGAUGAGAUUUAGUUAGAAGUUAAGAUUUGUUGUAAAACGUUCAAUUGUUGUGGUUCCAAUGUUCUUCCCAUUUUUUUACGCUAGUUCCCAAAAUUACAUAUCUUGUUCAACUAGAUGACCUAAAACUUUUCUAGGGAUGUUCUGCUUGUCAAAAUAUGUGGUAGUUGUUGCAUUGUACCUUACAAGCAAUGUGAUUGGGAUGGCAUUGUUUCUUGUUCCUGCUGUAAGCAGCUUUUUAGAGACAUCUACUUGGAGAAUUUGCAAUAUGUUAAGCCUGGUGGUGCCAGCCUGAGUUAUAUGUUGGAUGAGGAAUGCAAGAAGACCAAGUACCUUUACUAAAAUAUACAAUAUUUUGGACAAUUCUCUUGUCAAGCAAAACUAUAGCUACUACUUUGAGAUUAAGCCUCUUGUGGAGCCCACAAGAGAAAUUAUGAAGGUCAAUGUGAAUAAAUAUGAGUGGCAUGAAUUAUUUCCUCAAGUCAAAAGCAACGCUGGAGCUAUUCUUGCUGUAUGGGCCCCUAUAAUUCUUAUGAGGACUCUGUGAACCUGUAUAAAAUUUGCGUAUGGAUCAGAAAUUAUUUAAUUAUCUUUACAAUUCCAACAGGUCUAUUUUUAUGGACACACAGAUGUGGUGUUCUGUACCAUCUUUGGUGGUAUGUGUGGUAUUAUUCAUCAUCUUGGUGAGGUGAGAUCAGAAGUAUUCAAUACCUAACUUGUUCCGCAUUCAACGAUGACAAGGAAAAAAGGAAUGUUGCCUAGUUUCUUGAAAAAUAAAAUAUUUAAGGUAAAGUUGAAAGACAUGAUCCGACAAAUUUUGCUCUUGUUUGGAACCAGAUAAUAAAUAGCUUCCACUCAGAGGAUCUAAUAAGUAAUAGAUGGACUUGAUGACAACGCCCAUGUCACUAGAGGAUAAGUCUGGUUCUAUUCGUUGGCCCAUGUUUUUACUCGCCAAAAAGUGCAUGUCUCGAUGAAUGUUAUUACGAUGUUCUACAGAUUUAUUCAAUAAAUAGCUACCAUCUAUACUUAAAUCGAGAAGAGUAUUCAGAAUGCAAGUCUAUUGGUUGACAAAUUUGACCGAUUGGCACAGCUUCUGGAAAUAUACCGUAUAAAGCUACCUGACCCACCCUAUAUUGGAGAAGUGAAACCUCAAAAUCAAAAUCAUGCUAUUAUAUUCACCCAUGGAGAAGCUCUACAAACAAUUCAUAUGAACCAGGACAACUAUUUGGAACAAGCUUACAAUAUGAGAAACAUCCUUCAAGAAUUUGUUAGGCAUCCUAGGGGCAAAGCUCCAACUAUCCUUGGGAUUAGAGAGCAUAUCUUCACUAGAAGGAUUCAUGUCAUAUGAAAAAACAAGCUUUGUUACAAUUGGACAAAGAUUUCUUGCUGACCCCCUUAGAUAUCAGUUGUAGGCGUUUAUGUUUUCCUCUAUGGGCUAUUGUAUUUGGUUCUUAGCGGCCUGCGGAAGGCUUUGUUAGUUGAAGCUCAGACUCAGAAUAUGAAGUCCUUAGAAACUGCAUUGGUAUCUUAGUCUUUUCUCCAGCUAGGUCUGCUUACAGGAUUACCUAUGGUGGUGGAGAUCGGUCUGGAAAAAGGUUUUCGAGUAGCUUUGAGUGAUUUUAUCCUCAUGCAACUGCAGUUGGCUUUAGUUUUCUUCACAUUCUCUUGGAACAAAAAGCUCACUAUUAUGGAUGUACUAUUCUUCAUGGUGGUGCAAAAUACCGACCAACUAUAAAUUACUCAAAACUAUUAUGUAAAUUUGUCGCUUUUCAUGCAAGCUUUACUGGAAACUAUAAAUUAUAUUC